GUCUAAUCAGCUGCUAGCGUGGCUAGAACAUAAGCAGACAGAAAUAUGUGAAAAGAGAGACUGGCCUAGCCUCCUAGCCUACAUCUUUCUCUCGUGCUGGAUGCUUCCUGACCUUAAACGUUGGACUCCAAGUUCUUCAGUUUUGGAACUUGGAUUGGCUCUCCUUGCUCCUCAGCCUGCAGACAGCCUAUGGUGGGACCUUGUGAUCAUGUGAAGAAAUGACACCAGGAGGAUGACUUGCUGGUUCGUGAUGGGACUCACCUCUGCUAAUGCAAGGGCUGACUGCCAUAAUCACCUCGUAUGUGGACAUUUAUGACAUCCCAAGACUCAUAAUUUCCCUUGAGAAGUUCCAAGUUUAGUAGAUGGAAAAGAUGUUGCCUGCUCCAGCAGUGUCUUCCGAUGAAGGUCCAGGGCUGCAUCCCAAACACCCCCACCGACAGCUCAGCCAACAGGACGGAUCACGACUGAAACAGAUGUUCUUGCUCCCCCGGCCAAAAAGUUGGAGUCCCUCCCUGGAGAUGAGACACUUCCCUUUGACACCAGAAGCACCUUCCUGAUUUCAUCAGAUGAGAUACUUGUUUGGGGAAUGACCCCAAUGUCUUGCCUUAAGCAAACAAAUAAAAUGUUUGAAUUUAGUGAGGGCAUGAACCCGAUAUGUAAAAUGUAGAGUUAGGAAAAUUAUAUUGUAUAGAAAAUAGCACAUUAUUUCCCUGGUGAGCCAGCAACCUCCCAAAAUAAUUGUGUAAAACAGAGGAUAAAAAGAGCUCAGCAAGAAACCCUUAUGUCCUCGAGAAGGCAACCAAAUUGGAGAAUGAGGUUUAGUAUACGGUAUUUCUCAACAAGAACUGUAAAACUGAAUUAAAACCUGAAAGCAAUGAUAAAACUCUUACUAAAAUAUGUAGUCCAUGCAUUUCUUCUGUGUGAUUCUUCCGU
rnacentral:lncRNA from 1 species